AGUGAAGUGGGAAUCCAUCUAUGGAGGCACUUCCCGGUUCCUCCCUCACUUCUCCUUCCCCUUUUACUACCACGCCAUUUGCUCCUUCAAAACGUCAACGUCGCCGUCGCCGUCGAAAUCUUCCUUUCUCCGUCGAAGCAGAGCAACAAGAAAUUCGGGUAUGCACGAAUCGGACUUGCCGCAAACAGGGCUCAUUUCAAACCCUAGAAACCCUUUCCGGUCUUGCUCCUCCUAACGUCGCCGUAAAACCGUGCGGGUGUUUGGGAAAGUGCGGUGCUGGUCCCAACCUUGCGGUCCUGCCGGACGGUCUUAUCGUUGGUCAUUGCGGAACGGCGGCUCGAGCGGCUGAGGUCAUGAUGGGUGUGGUUUCUAUGGAAGAAGGUUCGGAUUCAUAUGAUGCAAAAAAGAGUUUAGAUGCGCUUGCACUGAGGAAGAGAGCUGAAAUUGAGUUCGAGAAGCAGAAUUUCACUGAGGCUGAACUUCUGCUCUCACAGGCUAUCGAAUUAAAACCAUUCGGUGGUAUACACGUAAUAUAUAAAUGUAGGUCAGCUGUAAGGUUGGCAUUGAGUAACUAUUCUGGAGCUCUAGAUGACGCAAGGGAGGCUUUGGAAUUAGCGCCUGAGUAUGCUGAGGCUUAUCUCUGCCAAGGUGAUGCACUUUUGGAAUUGAAGCAAUUUGAUACAGCAGAAAAGUCAUAUUUGGCAUCUAUAGAUAUAGAUCCUUCAAUCCGAAGAUCUAAAUCAUUCAAGGCGCGGAUCGCAAAACUUGAGGAAAAAGUUGCUGCUGCUAAUAAGUUAUGAGACGUACCUUCUGAACAAAGGUGCAAUCUAAUCGCACUGAUUUCAGGGUGAUUUGAUUACUAUUUUCCAGGCUUUUGCUAUCUAAGUUCAAGUUCAGUGGUUUCAAAUUUAACAUGUAUAGCGCAUCUGGAGGAGGUAAACACUGCACAACUAGCGCGCGCACGCACACACAUGUAUAUGGGAUGAUUCGUCUUCAUAGGAGCAAAGAAAUUUCUUUGUAUAUAAACAUCAUCUUUAAAUAUGGCUAAACAAAAGCAAUGCCAUAAAAUUACCAAAGGAACGCUCUAAAAGAAAUCAUGUGUUGAACACUAAAGAGAACUAUGACUGUUUCUUAAAGGCUCAAGCAUCUUGCUUGAGCUGGACAAUUAAAAUAAAAGCAGUUUAGAAGAUUUCAUUUAA